rnacentral:lncRNA from 10 species
UGCCCGCGUACCUGCCUGCCUGGUCCUUGAACACACAGCCACUGUGUGUCUUUUCACACUUCCAGGUGUGCAAGCCUGGGCAAGUUAACUUCUCUAAGCCCCAGGUUUUUCUUUUGCAUGACAGAGAUAACACCAGUACCCAUCCCACAGGCUUGCUGUGAGGACAGAAGGACAGACUAAGGCCUCAACAGGACUUGGUGCAGUACCUGGCUCUAUAUUCCCUUCCGCGCCGACCCUGGGGAGCUGGGCACGUAAGGGGUGUCGGUAUACGCGGAUUCGAAGCCUCACAACUCCCAGGCACAGACACAGGCACAAAACUAGAACCUGACUUUGUCUAAUGGAAACAGAUGAAACCAUCGCUGACAGCACCAGGAGCUCACAGCACUGAUGGGAAGGUGUGAACCUAGAAUCACGGCAAGGUCACAGCAGAGAGUGUGCUGGCCAGGGGUCACUGCAGCCCUGCCGGAUGCUGGAUGCAGCUGCUAGCCCUGUUGCUAGACCAGAGCUCUGCCAUCUUGGGAUGCAGCUUAUCAGCCUUGCUCUGCACAUCGUCCAGUCCACAUUCAACAUCUGAGCAGGUCCUUACCACCCGAGGUCGAAGCGGGAGUAUUUGGCACACCUAUUUGAUGUAGCAUGUUGCAGAGCUAUGCUUUCCCCCAAGACUCACAUUAUUUUGGGUUCCUAAAGUCAUAUAAUAAUACAAACAUCCACCUCAAGCCACAAGAGAGGGACUGAGUCAGCACCAGAGGGCUGGGUGGCAGCGCCCGUUGCCUUCCUCCUAAGUUUUCAGAACAACAGCUGGCUCAGGGGAUAAAAGCAUCAGAGCUAGGGGACAGCUGGAUUUGAGCCAGGGACCUCUUGAUCUGAGUCAAAUACUCUACUCCUGAGCUACACUUUCUCUCUGCUGUAACUUAGGUUUAGCAUAUUGACCACUGUGGCCUCACCCACAGACUCCAGCACACUGUAACUUCCAUUUGCUGCUCUUAGUCUACCCCUGGCACCCAGCAGAUUGAUCUCACUACACACUGCCUCUUUGGGCCAUGAGCUCACCCUGUCCUGUGCUUCUUGUGAACUCCAGAAGUCUCCUCCGCCCUGACCUAAGGUUUCCCUCCCUCAGUACCCAUCUGGGGUCACCACCACUUCCCUCACCCCAGGACCACUGGAUGUGCUUUUGGGUUUCUCUACCAUAUACUCCUCUGCGGUCUUCUUCCCUCAUCCUAUGGCCAAGACUUGGCAGGGUCUGCAGAGACUUGCUUGACACUGUGGGAGACAUUUGUCCAGAAAGGCUGCCAUCUCCAUGCUAGGCCAAGAUGCAGCCCCAUCUCUCACAGGAGGCCCCACACUGGCAGGUCAGCACAGCUGGGGAGGCACCAAGCCUGGAUAUCUGGAGGACUUAAAGACCAGGCCCUAAGGGCCUCUGAACUAGGACUAAGGACUCUCUCUUUGUCCUGCCCAAGCCCUGGCCUCCCUGGCAGCAGGACAGACUACACUGAAGAGUGUGCACCUUUUCUCUGUCAGGCAAACCUGUAGUGAGGGAUGCCACUGCCAGACCAUCCGAGCACCUAAGACGCCUCAUGGAUGCCAGGAUCUCAGCCACCCCGGGGGCUACUGAUGAUGUGGCAAAGAUCUGUUAGGAAUGGAUUCAAUAAUUCUUAUUACACAGACAAGUUCCAUGUGAGAAAGAAAGAAGGAGUGAGAGAGAGAGAAAGAAAAAGAAAGAGGAGAGACAGAAAAGAUGAAAGAAAGAAGAGAAAAAGAGAAAGAAAGAAGAAAGGGAGAGAGAAAGAAAAAAGAAAAAGAAAAGAAGACAGAAAGAAGAAAAGAAAAAAUACUAGUUUUCUUGAAAAUCUCAUGUCAGUACCUCCUGGCCUCUUCUUGAGUACAUUAUAGAUUCUCAACAAAUGCUUGUUGACUUAAAAAUACAUAGAACAUUUAGGAAACACAAAUAAAAAUCAGGAAGAAAACAAAUACUCCUAUAAUCACACCAGCAAAAUAACUCCUGUUCAGAGGUCUGUUUCUAUUCUUCCAAACUUAAAAUGCACAGCCUUGGGCAGAGGACUGAAGUGCUUGCUGCCACAGGGUUGACCCAGGCCCAGCUCCUUGGUGCUGUCCCGUCAGCUCCCUUUCUGUUGGGAGCUGCCUUUCUCCCUUAGCAGUUGUCCCCUGUCCUGUUCUGUAAGCAUAAGAAUUUUGAAUUUAACAGCAGGCAUAUCCCUGAAUUUAUCUUCCUUUUAUAUCAAAAUUAUUGUAAUUCUUUAAAAGGUGGUAGGUACUUUCAUACGGGGCUGCUGGGAUGAAUUGCAAUUGGGGUAUCUUUUCUGGAAGGCUGCUUGGCAAUAAAAAUGUUUAAAUAUCUG